GCGUCCAUGGUGGAAUAGGUAGACACGCCAUCUUGAGGGGGUGGUGACCGAGAGGUCAUGAGAGUUCAAGUCUCUCUGGACGCA
rnacentral:tRNA from 1 species